AAAGGAAUUGACGGGGGCCCGCACAAGCAGUGGAGUAUGUGGUUUAAUUCGAAGCAACGCGAAGAACCUUACCAGGGCUUGACAUCUACAGAAUUCCGUAGAGAUACGGAAGUGCCUUCGGGAACUGUAAGACAGGUGGUGCAUGGUUGUCGUCAGCUCGUGUCGUGAGAUGUUGGGUUAAGUCCCGUAACGAGCGCAACCCCUAUUGUUAGUUGCCAUCAUUAAGUUGGGCACUCUAGCGAGACUGCCGGUGAUAAAUCGGAGGAAGGUGGGGAUGACGUCAAAUCAUCAUGCCCCUUAUGUCCUGGGCUACACACGUACUACAAUGGCUGUAACAGAGGGAAGCUAAGCAGUGAUGCGGAGCCAAUCCCUAAAAGCAGUCUCAGUUCGGAUUGCAGGCUGCAACUCGCCUGCAUGAAGUCGGAAUUGCUAGUAAUCGCGGAUCAGAAUGUCGCGGUGAAUACGUUCCCGGGCCUUGUACACACCGCCCGU
rnacentral:rRNA from 1 species